UACGGAGGGUGCAAGCGUUGCUCGGAAUUAUUGGGCGUAAAGGGUAGGUAGGUGGUCUCAUUUGUCUGGGGUGAAAGCCUUGAGCUUAACUCAAGAAGUGCCCCAGAAACGGUGAGACUGGAGUCCUGGAGAGGGUCGUGGAAUUCCCGGUGUAGCGGUGAAAUGCGUAGAGAUCGGGAGGAACACCAGUGGCGAAGGCGACUACCUGGCCUGUUCUUGACGCUGAGGCGCGAAAGCUAGGGGAGCAAACGGG
rnacentral:rRNA from 1 species